rnacentral:rRNA from 1 species
UGAGUAACCUGCCCUUAACUCUGGGAUAAGCCUGGGAAACUGGGUCUAAUACCGGAUAUGACUCCUCAUCGCAUGGUGGGGGUGAAAGCUUUAUUGUGGUUUUGGAUGGACUCGCGGCCUAUCAGCUUAUUGGUGAGGUAAUGGCUCACCAAGGCGACGACGGGUAGCCGGCCUGAGAGGGUGACCGGCCACACUGGGACUGAGACACGGCCAGACUCCUACGGGAGCAG